rnacentral:pre_miRNA from 1 species
AGUCCGUGAUGCGUGACAAUAUUUAGUUUUUUUCGAAUAUUGCACUAGUCCCGGCCUAU